AAAGCUCUGACCUGUUCGUGNNNNNNGGGCGUUUGGUUUGAACCGACACUUCAAACCGAUAGGGGCUAAGUUCAUGAAGCGGCGCAUCGACCAUUAUAGGCCGACAGCAAAACCUUCUUGACGUCCCCACUCUACAAUGCGGGUUCUACAACAACACCUCUCACGGCAGGUUGGAGCUUUU
rfam:Planctomycetes bacterium RIFCSPLOWO2_02_FTLL_50_16 rifcsplowo2_02_scaffold_8711, whole genome shotgun sequence.